rnacentral:tRNA from 1 species
UGCCCGGUCGUCUAAUGGUAGGACAUGUGGCUCUGAACCGCAUAGUCUAGGUUCGAAUCCUAGCUGGGCAG